GAUAGGUCUGAGGUGGAAGCGCGGUGACGUGUGGAGCUGACAGAUACUAAUCGAUCGAGGACUUAACCUAA
rnacentral:rRNA from 1 species